UUGAAAUUGUUAUUGUUCUGUCGGUGAGUGAGUUGACGAAGAGAUCGAAAUCACAAUUUUAUUAUUGAAUAGUUAUUGUUUAUCACUAUAGCGAAGACGAUUGUAUUUUGUAACGUUUGAAGAGAUUAUAAACUGUAUACAAAUAAGUAUUGAAAUCGAGAUGAGGAAACGGAUAGUGGAAUCUUGAAGAAAAGAAAAAGAAAAGCUAGGAAUUCGAUCUGCAAGGCUUCGAGUCAAUAACCUUAUACGUUUUCUUGUUGGCUCCAACUGCAGGGUUGGAGGGAGUGAAAUAGGAGAAAACAGCUGAUGUCACUUAGGGUGAAACGAUUUUGUUUAAUCCAUGAAAGAAGAAUGGGAUCUCCUGUAGUGAUUUAGAUUCAUUUAAUAUAUGAAAUCAGCUGACAAUGUAUUUCGAGCAAUUUUACCUUGAGACAUUCGAAAAAUUGACAUUUAUUGCGGCAGAAAAAGCUAUUCCCAGCGACCUGUCGGUUUUAUUCUCGAAUUCAAAGGGCUAAACGGUCGAUUUACAACCAGACAGGCGUUGCAUUCGAAAGUAGAGAAUAUUUUUGCCGGUGGAUCUCGGUUGGUGGGGCAGUGGUUGGCACAGAGAAUUCGAAAUCGACGAUUUCAAGUGUCGUGUCCUAGUGCUGGUAUCCACUGGUUUAACAAUACUUCCCUCUAUUUCCCUUUCUUUCUCUCUUUUCCUCGUCUCUGAUCUCUCUGUUCUUCAGGCAUGCCGUAUUGAUCGACGAACACAAGCAGUCGGGAGAACUCGGUGUGGACUUCUAUAUACUAUACACACAUAUAUGUUCCGGUACCCGAAUUAUGUAGCCACACUCAUAUGGCUAUAUGGAGGCAUUUAAAGUUUUAGAUAAACAUAAAUUAGAUUUUUUCGUAAUAAUUUUUUUUCUCGAAUAAUUUUUAAAAAAUUUUAAUUUUUAUUAGGAUUCAUAGUUCUACGAGACAAGGUGAAUUACGAAUAUGUUAUUUUCUUAAAUUGCUUAUGAUUUUUAAAAAGUGCAAGUGUAAAUCGUUACUAUACGUUUCGAAAGUCAAAUGUUACAUAUUUUAACAUAUCGAUGAAUAUGCGAUUUGCGACUGACGUGAUUG